rnacentral:rRNA from 1 species
AACCAGACUCCUACGGGAGGCAGCAGUGGGGAAUAUUGCACAAUGGGGGAAACCCUGAUGCAGCAACGCCGCGUGAGUGAAGAAGUAUUUCGGUAUGUAAAGCUCUAUCAGCAGGGAAGAAGAAAGACGGUACCUGACUAAGAAGCCCCGGCUAACUACGUGCCAGCAGCCGCGGUAAUACGUAGGGGGCAAGCGUUAUCCGGAUUUACUGGGUGUAAAGGGAGCGUAGACGGCCAGACAAGUCAGAAGUGAAAGCCCAGGGCUCAACUCUGGGACUGCUUUUGAAACUGCCGGGCUGGGGUGCAGGAGAGGUAAGCGGAAUUCCUAGUGUAGCGGUGAAAUGCGUAGAUAUUAGGAGGAACACCAGUGGCGAAGGCGGCUUACUGGACUGUAACUGACGUUGAGGCUCGAAAGCGUGGGGAGCAAACAGGAUUAGAUACCCCUGUA